AGCUCACAGCUCGAGGAAGGCAUUUCUACAGCUUGUGCCUAAAACACAGCGCCUGGAGUAGUAGCUUGAAUGUUUCUGGACUCAAGGAAUCUCAGAAGUAGAUCGACAGGGGGGCAAGAUAGUUUCUCACUGCCUGUUCUAUCACCAUGAAUGGCAUUAUCUCAGUGUGGGCUACUGAACACUGGUGAUAUCUACGCAGAAUCCAGGAACUCAGUAAGUCGAGGAACAGGGGCCUCUCACUAGGGAAGACAGUAUCAAGUUUUAUACUUGUGGAAAUGGCCACAAUCCUAUUCAUCUUACAGCUAUGGAGGUCAGCCAUCCACAACAGCUUUCCUGGGUUUAACAUGAAGAGAAGUUUUGCUUCAAGUCGUUCGUGGAAACCUUCGUGGAAAGGUUGUUUGUAGCAAGCUCACUGCUCUCAGGGAUCCUGCUUUGAUGGAUUAUAAAUAGAGAAGGCAUAUAAUGGAACUACUGUCCCUGCAUGGACAAACGGGCCUGGUUUACAGGUGAGACAUUCAGAAGACAGGAGAGCAUCCCUGAGGGUACCUGGCACAGAGUAGGCAUUCAAGAAACACAGGUGGAAGGGAUUCUGAUAACCUUGCAAUGACUAUCAUGCCAGUGUAUGUCAAAAGAAUGUGCUGAUACUGGUAUUAUUACUUUGGUUAAUGCUAGUGUUCUUGGAAUUGUUAGAGGCAAGUCAAGAUUGUUAUUGUUCUUGUCUUCUACUUUCUUAGAAUUAAAAAAGACCUAUCCAUUGUCAUCAGAAUCUUUUCUCUGCGACAAACUUUCAAGUUAGGCAACUAACCAUUUUUCCAUUUCAGCCUCCAAAAGACUUAUUUAGUCUUGGAAUUAGUUUCCAGAAAUCAUUAAUUUGUCAGAGUAAGGCAAUUUAUAUCAUUUUUGAGAGAAGUAAAUGUCUUUUCUCCACGGCCAUGUCCUUUCUAUCUGUUUGCUUCUCAUGUCACUAGAUCAAGACAUUAGAGGUCUAUCCACUCAAGAAGCUCUCGGGAUACUUUAAGGACGUGUUAUGAAAACCAAGAAGGGUGGGGGCAAAAAAAGGAGAUGUAAAUAUAAAUUCUUUGAGGCAUCUCAUUUACUUCAAAAUUUUACUGUAGAUUUCAUAUUUGUGACAUAGUAUAGACAGAGAAAUAUGGAUAUUUGUCCACAGCCUUAUUGUUAUUUUAUAUUUACUGACCUCAAGAAGUAUAAUCUAUACAUUGAUUUUUUUUUAUCUUUAGAAUGUAAAAGUUUGAAAUUUUCAAAGAAGAAGUUACAUUAUUUAGUCACAAAAAAGUCACAUCAAUGUUUCAUCUUUAUCAAGCCUGAUGAAGGUCUAUUAUUCCAAUGACCUAUGGGGUACUGAGAAUUAAUGUACUGUAGUACAUGUGCUAUAAACCAGGCUUGGGAAGUAUAACUGUGUUAAAGAUUCACUCACUUAUCUCUAUAGUUCAACAAAUUUAGCCAUGUUGAUGAUCAUUUUAGUCAACGUUGUUACUAUUGAUGAACUAUGUAUUUGAAUCAUUGUUAAAUGUGCACAAUUUAUGUGCACUGCUAUCCAAUUUUAAGGUGACCAUACUUAUGCAACAAAUUAUUUCUUUUUGCUGUAUCUUCAGUUCUCAUCUGAACAAAAAGAUCUGCAUCUUCCUUAAUUUUUCAUUAAAUAUACUGACCCUAAACUAAAAUAAAAUGUUAUGCUUG
rnacentral:lncRNA from 1 species